AGCUCUCAAGGUGUAUAUCGCCAUUGCUGCGGUUAAAAAGCUCGUAGUUGGAUCUGCGCCUGUGGACUUGGUCCGCCCAAGUGGUGAGAACUAAGCUCCCGGGCUAUGUGGUCGGUUUUCAUGUGAUGCUCUUAACUGGGUGUCACAUGUGGCUGGCAAGUUUACUUUGAAGAAAUUAGAGUGCUCAAAACAGGCGUUUCGCCUGAAUAGUUGUGCAUGGAAUAAUGGAACAGGACCUCGGGUCUGUUUUGUUGGUUUCGGAACUGAGAUAAUGGUUAAGACGAAGCGACGGGGGCAUUCGUAUCGCUGCGUGAGAGGUGAAAUUCUUGGACCGUAGCGAGACGUCCUACUGCGAAAGCAUUUGCCAAGAAGUUUUCGCCUAAUCAAGAACGAAAGUAGG
rnacentral:rRNA from 1 species